GAGGGUUUGGCCGAGUGGUUAAGGCGCCAUGUUUAGGAACUAGUAAUCGUUUUUAGUACUUUUCCAGAAACGAUUUCGAAACUUAAGAUCCGUGGUAUCAUUGCGAUGCGCGGGUUCGAAUCCCGCAUCCCUCA
rfam:Pachysolen tannophilus NRRL Y-2460 unplaced genomic scaffold PACTA_scaffold_8, whole genome shotgun sequence.